rnacentral:lncRNA from 1 species
UGCCAUUAUCUAGAGGUUUUCUUCCGGUAAUCCGCUCUAAAAGUGUAAUACCAAAAGAAUAAAUAUCAGACUUAUCGGAAUACUUCCCCAAUUUCAUCGUUAAUGGAUUUUCAUAACUGCAAUAGAAUUAUCACAAUUAAAAUUCAUGUAGAUUUUCUUUAAGAAAAUAAUAUUUUCGAAUUAAGGAGUCUUAAUUUAUUUUUAUGUGUUUUUUAUUUUAAUUUUUAUUUUAGUGUAGAUAAUAAUGAGAGUGAAAAUAAAAAAGAUAAUAAUAGCAAUGCAAUUCGUUUAUAUAAGAAAAAAAAUAGCAAUGCAAUUAAAUGUAGAAAGAAAGUUAUAUCUCACGUACACUUGAGUUCCCAUAACUGAUGAUUUGGACAUGUGAGUAGCAGCGUCCGUAAAAAAAUGAGCAAGUCCAAAAUCUGUAAUCUAAACAAAUGAUUUAAGUUGGUUAAUAAAUUUAUUAUGCAAUUUAUAUAUAAUGUAUAUAUUAAUUUAAAGGUGAAUAAGUUAUUUUCGCACUUAAUUUCAUGAAUAGACUCUUUUUUUUUUUUAAUUUGAUAAAUUACACUAUUUUUCGUACUGCAAAAAGGUUUAAGAUUAAAUCAUGAAAAAAAAAGCAAGAAACCUAUUAAGGUUGAUUAGAGAAACUGUUUUCAGUUCUUUCAAGUGUGUUGCAUUUUCUGUAAACCUAUCUUGAGUCAAGCCUAUUGUACCCACUGUACAUAUACAUGUAUUACUACUGAUCCAAAAUAUACAAGAAAUUAGGGUUCUAAUCGAAUCGAAUUGAGUCAAAUUUUAAUAAGCUCAAAUUCUAUUAGAAAAUAAAUUUAAAAGCUCAAAUUCAAGUUCAAGCUCGACUCAAGUUUCAUUUAUAAGUUCAAACUCGAUUCUUAAAAUAAAUAUUAAAUUCGAGUUCGGUUCGAACUCGAUUCAUAAUAAACUUGUUUAUCACAUUAAUGAAUCAACUCAAACUCUAUUCAAAAAGUUCGAAUUUGAGCUCAUUUAGUGAUAUGGAGUAACUAGUCUUGGAUUUUACGGCAGUCUUGGACUUUACGAUAGACUUGGACCAAACCUAAUUUUUGCUGCCGACGUCCGAUGAAAACCUACGAUAACUUUUCGAAAAGGAAAUUUCGAGACACUCGACUUUCAAAAGUGUGACAAGGGCAGCAGACCUAUCACUAAGUUCGAUAUGGAAAUUACCUCGUUUAGGGGUCAAUUUUACAUUUUAAUUAUUUUUUUAGAUAUUUUUAUAAUUUUGCAUAUUAUGAUUUUUUUUUUCUAUUAUAAAUAGUCUCCCUUAGCUAUUAGAAGCUCACUUGUCAAUCUUUGAAGAAUUUCAAUAAGAUUGUUCAUCUUUUCAGCAUAUCUUUUCUCUUAUAUCGUUUUAGCCAAACGAUAUUGAUUAAAACUUCUGACGGAGUCUAAUUAGUCCUUUAUCAGAUUGGUAUCAGAGCCAAGCUUGACCAUGGCAGACAACCAAGAGGUGCAACUUGCUGUGAUUGAGGCAUCUUUGGCAGAAUUGAGGGAGAUGAUAGGACAGUUGGCCCUGCAGCAGGGAAUCCACCAAUCCACUGCCCUCGCACACCCCCAGCCAGUCACCAAUCCUGUGGCCGCCAAUUUUGUGGUCGCCAAUUCUGUACCUGCAAAUCCCCAACAGAAUUAUCAAAAAAGUUACAAGAUCAAAAUAGACCUUCAAAGCUUUUCUGGUUCGUUAAAUGUGGAAUCUGUUCUUGAUUAGCUGGUAGAGUUGAAUGUUUCUUCGAAGUUAUGAACGUGAAAGAAGAUCGUAAGGUUUCGAUUAUGGCCUAUAAGUUAAAAGGAGGUGCAGCAGCCUGGUGGAAUUCGAUUCAAAAUGAAUGCUAUCGGAGGAGGCUGGAACCCAUACGAAACUAGGUGUUGAUGAAGCAGAAGAUUGAACAACAGUUCUUGCCUAGCGAUCACGCUCAGGUUUUGUAUAUCUGAUAACCAUUCAAAAGGGAGCUUGUGAAAUUUAUGAUCCUUCAAGAGAAACUAUUGUAAUUAUUUAAAUGAGCUCAAACAGGUUGUUUCCAUUGCAAAUUCAAGUUGCCCAAACCUGUUUGAUGGUUGAAAUGAAGAAUCCAUCUUGGCUUUGGUAUUUCUGUUACGGCCACUUGAAUUUCGGUGGAUUAAGAACUCUCCAACAGAAGAAUAUGGCGAAUGGUCUUUCUCAAAUUACUAUUCCAUCUCGAGUUUAUGAAGAAUGUGUAUUUGUAAACAACAUUGCUCUCAAUUUCCAAAAGGAAAAUCAUAGAGAGCGAAAGAUUUUUUAGAGCUGGUCCAUUCCGAUAUAUGCGGUCCAAUCAAUUCAACUUCCAAUGGGGGUAAGAAAUAUUUAAUCACUUUCAUUGAUGAUUUUUCUUGGAAGACUUGGAUUUACUUUUUGUAGGCUAAAUUAGAAGCUUUUUGUGCAUUUAAAAACUUCAAAGUGCAUGUUGAAAAUGAGUAAGGGAAGGCAGUUAAAACUUUCUAUACCAAUCAUGGUAGAAAAUAUUGUUGAAAGGAAUUUGAACAAUUUUGUGAUUAAUAAAUCAUACGAAGGGAACUCAUAGCUUCCUAUUUACCAUAAUAAAAUGGCGUAUUGGAAAGAAAAAAAUAAAACAAUCCUUAAUAUGGUGAGAAGAUUGUUGGCUAAAAGCAAUGUUCCGAAGAACUUUUGCCCUAAGGCAGUUAAUUGGAGUAUCCAUGUACUGAAUAGAAGUCUAACAUUUUCAAUACAGAAUAUGACUUCAAAGGAAAUAUGGAGUGGAAGAAAAUCAGCUGCUGAUCAUUGUUGAAUUUUCGAUUGCAUCAAAUAUGCAUAUAUAUCUGAUGAGAAAAGAAAAAAGUUAGAUGAUAAGGGUGAAAAAUGUGUCUUUCUUGGCUUAAAUAAAGUCUCUAAAGCUUACAAGUUAUUAAAUUCAGACACUAAAAAGAUUGUGAUCAGUAGAGAUGUGAGUUUUUAUGAAGAAAACACAUGGAAUUAGGAUAAAAAUGAGUCACAACAGCAACCUAUAUCAGUCUCCUUUGAAGAAAUAGAGAACCAAAAUGAUCAAUUUGUACAACUUUCAGAAUCUGACUUGCAACAUCAAAUUGCUGGUCACCGGAAAUCCAACCUAUUGAAAGAGGUCAGCCUCGUUCUACUAGAAAACCAACUUGAUUGACAGACUAUGUAAAUCGCAAUAUAAUGUUGAGUGUUCUAAGACGGUUAAGUUUACUCCUUUUAUCAUUUUAUCAUUUAUCUGAUCUUACCUUUAAUUUAAUUUUUGUGAGUAAAUUUAUUAAAUACUUAAACUGUUGUGUUUUUUUUUUUUCUCCUGACCACUGUUUUUUUCAAAAUCUUAUGAUAAAAAAAAUUAUUGGUAAAUGGCAUGUAUCUGAUGGUAUAUACAUUUUGGAUAUAUAGAUGCCUCAAUAAAUUACUUGUUCUAGUGUAAUCUCCACCUAUAGUUAUGAAAAUAAUUAUAUUACACAUAUUUUUAAUAAAUAGAUCCCAUCUUUAUAAAUUAGUAUAAUGUUAAAAAUUAAAAAUAUAAUAUGUGAUGACCGCUGGAUUUCCCUACCCCCAAUCCUGGGUCCAGAUUACGGCCACGGCCCAUGAAAGGAAGGCCUGCAUGCCCUCUCAAGACAAGCCCAGAUCAUCAGACCCCUGAGGCCGGACUCCACCAGAUUCUUCCUCAUCGAGAUCGGCCCAGCCCAUAUAACCUUCCCAUGGAUUCCUUCUCCUCCUGGGUUCAGCGUCCAACCCAGCUCUUGGCCCAGCCCAGAAUCCAGAACGAGACUCAUCAUACAGCCUGGCAGAUCCGCUCGAACGUAGCACGGGGGAGAAUCAGAGGCCGUUACGCAUGGAGCAGGCGCCUGAUUCCCUCGUACGCCCAUAUCUGUAUAGCAGAGACGCGUGGCCCAAUCAUGGGAGAGCCGUUAUACGUCACCAGCAAGCAGAACGAAAGGAUAAAAGGGAUACCCCUUUAGAGAGAUGGACCAAGCUUUAUUUUUCAAUACCAAAACCAUUGUAAAACCUAUUCUAUUGGAUCUCAGAUCAUCAAUUGGCGCCGUCUGUGGGAAACGACGGAGAUCUUUUCAUCACCGGAGUUUUCACUCUUAACAAAACCCACUGAGAUCCACGAUGGCUAAUCACCAAGAAAGUAACCUUAACGUCCCAAAUGACCUAAGCUCUGCCCAAGAGGGGCAACAAUUCUCCUUUUCUAGUCCUACGACAUUAAACAACCAAACGCCUGUUCCUCUUAAUCCCUCGCCAAGUUUGGCAGGGAAUACUCCCGCUGUUACCUUGUCUAACCAAGAUCUUCAAAACAUGGCUUUCCAGUUACAGAAUACCGCCCACUGGUUGGGGCAGAUAAUGCAACAUAGAGGCCUCAACACCCCAGUAAAUACACUCCCGGUUGUAGAGGAACCUCAGACCAAUGACCCCCGACUUGCAUCUAACCGUCUUUAAACCAGCAGCCGCGAUACUGAAGAAAGAGGAAGAAAAGCCGGCGAAGAGGAAGGACCGGAGGCCCGAAUCCAUGCGAGGAGGGCGAGAGAGAUGAUAGAAAAUGAGGAGGUGGAUAACUAUUCCGCCGAAAUAACCGAGUGGACGGGAACUGAAGCAGAGGAGGAGGAGUACCGCCUGGAGAAAAAACCCAGCCCAGAAGAUGAGAAGGUGGACCAAAAGUUGAAGAAAUUGAGAGAACAGCUCCUCGCCGAGCUAGGUAAGAAAGACCAAAGCCAAACCUCUUUGCCUACUUCUUCCCCUUUCUCAAAAUGGGUGCAGCAAGAGACUGUCCCUAAGAAGUUUAUGAUGCCGUCAAUGGCGGCCUAUGACGGAGCUGGUAACCCGAGAGAGCACGUCAUGAACUAUAAGACCUUCAUGGAGUUGCAAACUCUGUCAGAUGCCUUAAUGUGUAAAGUGCUCCCAACGACGCUCUCGGGACCAGCGCGGGCGUGGUUCAACAGCCUUGAGGCCGGAAGUAUCAGAAGUUUCGGAGACCUAGCCACUCGCUUCAUCAGUCGAUUCAUAGCCGGGGUGCCAGCAGAGAGGAAGACGAGCUACUUGGAGACAAUAAGACAAAGAGGGGGCGAAUCACUCAGAGAGUAUGUCGCUCGUUUCAAUACGGAGGCCCUGCAGAUUCCCGAACUCGAUGAAGGAAGGGCGGUAGAGGCCAUGCAAAAGGGAACAACCUCUGCCGAGUUCUUCGGUUCCUUAAGCAGGAAGCCUCCGACCUCCCUGGCUGAGCUGAUGAAGAGGGCGGAGAAGUAUAUAAGGCAGGAUGACGCCUUAGUAACAAGCCGAUUUGCCAAAGGAAUGACAGGAAAAGAAAAAGCCUCAGAAGAAAGGAGGCCAGAGAAACAAGAAAAGAAACACGGCAAGAGGCCCGAGCCGUACAAGCAGGCCUGGGAGCGAAGGGAUCAAAGGCCUCCCCGAGACCAUGAGCCAAGAUUACCUCCCCCUUGGGUCCUUGAGAAGCCGACUCCACUAAAUGCGUCCAGAGCCGAGGUGCUCAUGGCUGUCCAAGAUAAGAAAUUCUUCCAGUGGCCCAAACCUAUGAAGUCGGAAGCAGACCAACGGAAUCCUGACAAAUAUUGUCAGUAUCAUCGGACGCAUGGCCACGAUACCAACAACUGCUUCCAUUUGAUAGCAGAAAUCGAGAGGUUGAUAAAGAGGGGGCAUCUCAAGAACUUUGUGAAGAAAUCAGAGGGACAAAGGCCUCAAUCCAGUCCGGCGGUUCAGAUGCCGAGGAGAACAGGAACUGGACCAGUGAACGAUGGAUCCAGUGGGACCAUCCACAUGAUUGUUGGAGGAACGGGAGGUUGGAUGGGCCGCCGAGGGAAGAAGAGAAAUCGGGAAGGAGAGAGCACCAGUACUGAGGUCAUGCAAAUCGUUGACCACUCUCCCGUGACCAUCACCUUCUCUUCAGAAGAUGCUCAGGGUAUUCAGACGCCCCAUGAUGAUGCGCUCGUCAUUGAGGCCGUCAUUCAUAAUUAUCGGGUAAAGAAGGUCUUAGUGGAUGACGGGAGCAAAGUCAACUUGCUACCAUAUCGGGUUUUUCAACAGAUGGGAAUUCCGGAAGAACAGUUGGUCCGAGAUCAGGCACCAAUCAAGGGGAUCGGAGGAGUACCGGUGCUCGUAGAAGGGAAGGUGAAGUUGGCUCUCACCUUAGGUGAAGCACCCAAAACUCGUACUCACCACGAGGUAUUUUUAGUGGUCAAACUUCCGUUGAGCUAUAAUGUGAUCUUGGGGAGGCCUGCGCUGUUCAAUUUCGAAGCUGUCACCAGUAUCAAGUAUUUCGCGCUUAAAUUUCCAACAGAAGAAGGAGUGGGAAUAGUCCGGGGCAGUCAGGAAGAGGCAAGGGCAGUAUACUUAGCCACAAUAGCAGAACCAAGCUCCACUAGAAAAGCUCUUGACUCGGAAGUUCUAGAGGUUCGGGAUGAGAAAACAUAAGCCAGGACAGAACCGGUGGGGGAGCUGGAGAUCUUCCCUUUGUCAGAAGCAGAGGCAGAAAAAGUCUUCAGUCUCAACGCCGGCCUCACUGAAGAACAAAAAGCUGAAGUCAUGGCCCUGAUCCGAGGACAUGCGUCUAGUUUCGCCUGGAAACCCUCCGACAUGCCUGGAAUCGACCCUAAAGUAAUGACACACAAGCUGAAUGUACUCCCCAAGGCCAAGCCAGUAAAGUAGAAGAAGAGAGUAGUAGGAAGAGAGAAGCAGCAGGCCACCAGGGAGGAGGUGCAGAAACUCGAGGAGGCAGGCUUUAUUAGGGAAGUUAUGUACCCGCAAUGGCUAGCAAAUCAUGUAUUAGUCAAAAAAGCCAAUGGCAAAUAUAGGAUGUGCAUAGAUUUUACUGACCUAAAUAAGGCCUGCCCUAAAGAUUGUUAUCCACUUCCUGAUAUUAAUAAAAUGGUCGACUCUACGGCCGGUUUCGAUUAUAUGUCUUCUUUGGAUGCUAUGUAUGGUUAUCAUCAAAUCCCAAUGGACAGGUCGGAUGAGGAAAAGACCUCGUUCAUAACUGAAGAUGGAACUUACUGCUACAGAGCUAUGCCAUUCGGAUUAAGAAAUGCCGGGGCAACUUACCAAAGGUUGAUGAAUAAAAUCUUCAAAAAUCAGAUUGGCAGAAAUGUAGAGGUCUAUGUAGAUGAUAUGGUGGUCAAAAGCCCAAAUUUCCAGCAGCACGUAGCAGACUUGAAGGAGGUAUUCGGGGUAUUAAACCAGUACAAAAUGAAGUUGAACCCAGCAAAAUGUGCUUUCUUUAUUAGAGGAGGAAAAUUCUUGGGAUUCAUGGUGAGCGGAAAAGGCAUCGAGCCUAACCCGGAGAAGGUAGAAGCCAUAUUGAGAAUGCCAGAGCCGACCUGCGUAAGGGACGUCCAAAGACUAACCGGAAGAGUAGUGGCACUCAACCGAUUCAUGUCAAGGUCAGCAGAAAAAUGCUUACCAUUUUUCAAAAAAUUGAGGAAGGUGCCAAACUUUGAAUGGACAGAAGACUGCCAAAAAGCCUUCGCAGAGCUUAAGGGAUAUCUCAGCUCGCCCCACGUGCUCAGUAGUCCUAUGAAAGGGGAAGAACUCCUGAUAUAUUUGGCAGCCUCAAAACAAGCAGUCAGCGCAGUGUUAGUAAGGGUGGAAGAAGGGGAGCAGAAACCCGUUUUUUACGUCAGCAAGGUACUCAGAGAUACCGAGGUCGGAUAUUCGAACAUUGAAAAAAUGGCUUACGCCCUAUUGCUAGCAGUCCGGAAAUUCAAAGUAUACUUGGAAGGCCACCAAGGAGUUGUGAUGACAGACCAACCCUUAAAGAAGAUCUUACGCAGGCCAAAAACUUCGGGUCGGAUGUUGGCUUGGUCCGUAGAGAUCAGCCCUUACUGUCUAGAAUAUCGACCUAGGACAGCCAUAAAAUCUCAAGUUUUGGCUGACUUCAUAGCAGAGUGCUCAUUCAACGAGGAGUAGGGAGGAUCAUCCUCGGGGAUAACAGGACAGGAACGUGAGGGGGAGCCUCAUCCAGAGUUUAACUGGAAGUUGUAUGUCAACGGAGCAUCAGGCACUGAGGGCAGUGGUGCCGGAAUAAUGCUUAAGGGGCCAGAGGAUUUUAAGGUAUGUUACGCCUUACGUCUAGAGUUCAAAGCCUCGAAUAAUGUGGCAGAAUAUGAAGCCCUGAUAAAUGGGAUGUUGGUGGCACUGGAGGUGGGAGUAACCGAUCUCGAGAUAAACAGCGACUCUCAGCUGGUGAUCAACCAAGUAACAGGGAUGUAUCAGGCUAGAGACCCCCUUAUGCAGAGUUACCUGGCUAAAGUAAAAACUUUAGAAGCCGAGCUCACAAGUCGAGGAGUAACCAUCAGGUUUCAAAGAAUACCCCGAGAGGAAAAUGAGGAAGCAGAUCUGCUUAGCCGAUUAUCCAAAGAAGAAUUGGAACAGCUUCCCGAUGAAGUGUACAUACAACAUGUCCAUACACCUGCUUUUAAUAAAACUAAUACGAUAUUGCAGGUGGAACAGAAUCCGACUUGGAUGACCCCUUACUUAGAAUACCUGGAGAAAGGUAAACUCCCCGAGGAUAGAGAUGAAGCCAAAAAGAUAGCAGCUCGUGCCGCUAACUACCAAGCAAUAAGGGGGACCUUGUACAGAAAAGGAAAGUCCAGUCCGUGGCUCCGAUGCGUGAGCCCGGAAGAGGCUACGAAGGUGAUGGAAGAAAUACAUAGAGGCCUGUGUGGAGCCCACGAGGGAGGAGGGACAUUAGCUAAUAAAGUAUUCCGGCAAGGGUAUUAUUGGCCCACUGUUAAAAAAGAAGCAGAAGAGUUCGUCCGAAGGUGCGACGUAUGCCAGAGAUUUGCCAAUGCCAUCAAGACUCCAGCCACUCCUCAGGCCAACAUAUCCAGUCCAUGGCCUUUCUCGCAAUGGGGAAUUGACAUCCUGGGACCUUUCCCCAAAACCACGGGGCAGAGGAAAUUUGUAGUGGUGGCUGUAGAGUACUUCUCAAAAUGGCCAGAGGCAGAAGCAAUAGCCACAAUCACAGCUCGAAAGAUGAUAGAUUUUGUGUGGGGGCAUAUCAUCUGCAGAUUUGGUGUACCCAGAGUGCUUAUUUCAGAUAAUGGCCGACAGUUUGAUUGCAGCACCUUCAGAGCUUUCACCACAAACAUGGGCAUCUGGCAUAAAUUCUCCUCUGUGGCUCAUCCCCAAACUAACGGCCAAACAGAGGUCACCAACAGAGCCAUCCUACAAGGAUUAAAAAAGCGACUAGAUGGGGCAAAAACAAAUUGGGCAGAAGAACUCAACAGCAUCCUGUGGGCACUCCGAACCACCCCUAGAGCACCCACUAAAGAAACGCCUUUCGCACUUGCCUAUGGUACAGAGGCCGUAGUCCUAGUUGAGUUGCAGAUUCCUACUCAUCGAGUCCAAUUUGCUAGUGAGAGCGCUAACGAUGACAAGCUAAGAAGCAACCUGGAUGCCCUUGAGGAAAUCAGGGAAGAAGCCCAAAUCCGAACUGCCGCCUAUCAACAACGGGCAGCACGAUACUACAACCAAAAGGUUAGAGAAAGAAGCUUGAAAGUAGGAGACCUGGCCUUAAGAAACCUGGAAGCCACAGGAAAAAGGGCGGCAACUGGUAAGCUAGCACCGACCUGGGAGGGCCCUUUCAAGGUAACAAAAGUAGUCCGGCCAGGAGUAUACCGGAUUGAAGAUAUGCAAGGGAACCAUGAGCCCCACGCUUGGAAUAUUCAACAUCUAAAGAGGUAUUUCCCCUGAUAUAGUUGUAGAAAAAAACAUUGUAUUCUGAUAAAUAUGAUGGAAACAAGUUAUUUAUACAAUGAGAUUAUCUUUAUUAUCAUGAAUAAUAUUCCUCCAGGAAAAAGAAAAGUAGGUGUACAGGAUCCCCUAGAUUUCCUGACACCACNNNNNNNNNNNNNNNNNNNNNNNNNNNNNNNNNNNNNNNNNNNNNNNNNNNNNNNNNNNNNNNNNNNNNNNNNNNNNNNNNNNNNNNNNNNNNNNNNNNNNNNNNNNNNNNNNNNNNNNNNNNNNNNNNNNNNNNNNNNNNNNNNNNNNNNNNNNNNNNNNNNNNNNNNNNNNNNNNNNNNNNNNNNNNNNNNNNNNNNNNNNNNNNNNNNNNNNNNNNNNNNNNNNNNNNNNNNNNNNNNNNNNNNNNNNNNNNNNNNNNNNNNNNNNNNNNNNNNNNNNNNNNNNNNNNNNNNNNNNNNNNNNNNNNNNNNNNNNNNNNNNNNNNNNNNNNNNNNNNNNNNNNNNNNNNNNNNNACACAAAGAAGACCGGGAUCACCUAAGAACUCCCGGGAAAACAAAGUAAAAAACAGCUGGAGAAGGCCUUAAGACCAUCUUUAAGCAAAAAUUCUCCAUAUCAUAUGCAGGGACAAUGCAUAAAAAUAUAGUUCCGACCUCACAAAAAGAUGCGUCCAAAGGCAUCAAGGAAAGGCCAAACUCCGAUCUCCCGAAGGAGCUCGGAGCACUAUGGCCAAAAGGUACUAAACUUAAAAAGUGAUCGCUGACGCUAAGCUCAGCUUACAAAGAGGCCUAGACAGCAAAUAGCCCGGAAGAUAUCCAGGGAUAUACGAAGCAUCACAAGCCAUAGGCGUAAAAACCUAAGUGAAGAGUAAAGAGCCGAGCUCUCAGCUCGGAUAAAAAAAAAAAAAAAACAUCCAUACAAAGCUAAAGGACCGCGCUCAUAACUCGAGUCCGUCGAAUAGACAUCCGAGCUCAUAACCAAGGAAGCAGGAAAAAAUUAUUUACCUCCUCAACACUCAUGUAAUGAAAGGUUGAGGAGAUCAAGGGGGCAAUUUAGGAAGAAAGGACCUCAGCUUCAUUUCCUGACAAGACAGAACUAAAAGCAAAAAGGCAGCCCUGCUAAUCACCAGUAGAAGGUAUGUGAUCUGACUUAUAAGUUCAGACAAUUAGCUAAGAAUCGAGCUCAUGACUAAAGGCUAAUCUAGUUCAGAAAAAGCUUAUGAAUAAAAAUAUACAAUGUCAGCAUUACAGUUACGAGAAGGAGAGAUAAAUUAUAAAGCGAAAAAUAGUUCAAAGAAAUUAAAAUUUCAUUAAGAAUACAGGACUGUUACAAUCUACUUAUCAGACGAGGUUGAAGGAAAGAUAGUCCUUAAAGGACUUACAUUUGUAAGAACAUCCUCGCCUACAUUAUGUUUAUUUACAACUAUAUCUGGAGGAAGCCCGGCAUCUUUUGGGUCAGAUGUCUUAGUAUCAACAACAGGGGCAACCUCCAACCCUGGAUUGAGGUCCUCCCCUUCAGAUUCGGGGUCGCCUCCUUCAGACUCAAGGGCUCCCAGGUCCUCCCCAUCCGACUCGGAUUUUUCUUCGGAAGAUACAGCCGACGGACCUCCAACGCGACAGUCCCCUCUAGGCAUAGGGAAAUCAUCUUCUCCAUACAACAUCGGCUCACCAUCAGAGUCCACUUCGGCCAUACGAAGCUUUGCCAGAGGAGUAUCAGGAGCAUGUCUAGCCUCUCUUAUACCGCGAUUGUAACCAGUUACAUACAUGCGGAAGGCUUUCUGAAGAACAGUAGAUUUCAUGUCUGCAGAGGCUUUAUAUUCGUCAAGAUGUGUUUCACAGGCCUCAGCUAUAAAUGCCUUCAACUUAGGAGAAUCCUUGUAGUCCUGAAGGUGAGCUUCACAGGCCUGCUCAAUCUUUCUUUUCAGCUCCUCCGACUCCUGAUAUUCUGCUAGACACCUCUCGCGUUCUAGCAGGACCUUGCCUUCAGCAUGUUUCACCACCUCGAGCAGGGCCGAACAUUUACGUUCCAAAGUCCUGACUUCAUGGUUAAGCUGUUGAUGGCGAAGUUGGGACUCCUCCGCCGAUGAAGCCAGGACUCUGAUACGUUCAGAGCUCGUGCUCAGCUCCUGCUCAAGGACUUCCACCCGAGCUAAGGCCCUCUCCUUCUGAACAUUCACCUCAUUCAGGCGAACUUGAAGUCCUUCAGAAUCAGCCUUUAAGGCUUCAUAUUGGCACCGGACUUCAUCCCUUUGACUUACAACCUCAUCUCUUUCCUAAAGAGCCGCUGUCAUAGAGGACAGCUGCUUUAAAACUUCUACACAACGAACUUCCACCUCAGCUGUCCUCUCAUCAGACUCUUGGAGAACCCUGCGAGUACGAGACAACUCUACCUCCAGGGAUUUGGUGUGCUCUACUGCCUCAGCCGCUCUGCCUUCAGCUCUUUUAAGGGCCUCCAAGGCAGAGUGCAACUCCACCUGGAGGGACUGGGAAUGUUCCCGGGCAGCUAUAAGAUUGCCUCUGGUGUCAUUGGUGGCAGAUAUAUUCUCCUCCAGGCGCGCCUCUUCAAUCCGGCGAUCCACGGACUCUCGGAGGGAGUGGUCGCGAGUGUCCACCUCCAUAAAAAGACCCGUCACCUAGUAAGAGAGGACAACCAUCAAAAGAAAGAAAUAAAGAAGACCAAAAGAGAGAGAAAAAUAAUUUACCAUCAAAAGCAUCUCCCUGAUUGUAUUCCCAAGCACUUCACGAGAUCGGGAUAGGAAGGAUGCUUGCUCCUUGGUAGAACUGGCUAAAAAACCAGUAAGGGCAAGCAGGCGUGGAUCCGAGGCCUCUGUAGCUCCGCCGAACAUCCGUUCUCUAAGAAAUUCGGCGACGGCAUUGGCCGGAGAUUGAGAAGUGAUGUCCGCUGCGUUCAGAGUGUCGUUGUCAGUAGAAGACAAUAGAGGUACAACAGGAACAUUUUUUCCCUUCCCAAUAGGAGGAAGGGCAGGAGAAGAUCCUUUGGAAACCCUGGGCUUCUUCUGGACAGGAGGAGGGGCAGGUGUUCCAUGAAACGCUGGACGCUUGUCCCCGGUUUUCCCUACGGAGUCUCCAGACUCAGACCUGACCCCCACAGGGGCAGGGGCAUCCUUGGCAGGCGCCUCCAAGACGUCAUCCUCCACAAGGACGAUCUCUUUUCCCUUCCCAGGGGCCUCCUCAUCCUCGGUAAUGGGGGACUUAAGUUUUCCCCCUGACACCUCUUCAGAAGAACGAGCAAGACCCAACUGUGCCUGUUCGACGACCUCGGUCUGCUCCACAAUGGCUAGAGAAACUCCCCUCACACCCUCUGAAGAACCUUGAGCAGACUUAGACUCUUCAAUAGGCUUAAUAGUCAAAGCCGACUUGCCACGACUAGAGGGCCGAGAUGACUUAGAGCCUCGAGAGCUCAGCUUAGGAUCUCGAGAGGAAGCCUUGGUAGGAGGUCGGCUAACUUUCUUGGAAGAAGCAACUUGAGCUACCUCUGCAGCGACCUCAGGCACAGAACGCCCAGCUCGAAGGGCAUCAAAAAUUGCAUGCAUAUUAUCCCGAAACAGGACUAAAUUCUUCGGAUGCCUAAUCUCUUCCAUUUCAACGACAGAAGCUGCAAAAACAAGAAACUAUAAAGGAUUAGCGCAUUUUAUAAUAUCACUUACAACAAAGAAACAGUCAUUGGACAAGGCACUAUACCCGUGUCCCGGAUAUCCCUAAGAUUAGACACGAACAUACACUUCUCGAUGUCAUACUUCUUUUCAACAGAAGUCAGUCGAAGCAAUCCCACCUGCUCAAUAAGGCUCAACCGGGGCAGGUCAUUGCAGCCCGGAGGAACAUCUUCCCAACUUAGAUCCACUCCCCAUGAUAAGGCGGAUUCUAAUUUCAGCUCCGCCACAAGGAAAUUCUCAACCCAUCCCUUUAUGGAAUCCUUGUAGCCCGUGAAAAGAGACAACCCACUACGGGGGGAAAAAUAAUAGAAAUUCUGAACCGCCCUAACGAGACGGAAGAAAGUGACGAACAGACAGGCCGUGGGUGUGAAACCCCAGCUUCGGCAGAUGGAUUCGAAACAACUCAUGAACAGAAUAGAAUUUGGGGAUAACAUCCGAGGGGUUACCCCGAAGUAUUGGAAAACCUCGACAAAAAAAGGAGUAAAAGGGAAAGGUAGACCGAAAUCCCUUUGUUUGAGAAAAAAGACUAUACAACGCCCCCUCUGGGGAUCCAUCAAACCAGGGGGGAGGGUUUGGAAGAACUAUCCUUUCAUUUUGGAAAGGAGCUCGAAUAAGAUAAAGCGGAGUAUCUUGAUACCUCCGAGAAAUAUGUUUAUUUAUGGUCGAAGAAGUGAUAUGCGACCUAAGAUUAGCGACAUCCGGGAGCUUUGGACCCUCCAUGGAAGAGCAGAGAAGCGUACUUGAAAACGCAAUAGGGUGAAAAAAAUAGAAGAAGUUGCAGGAAAACAGAGAGCAGAAGAGAGCGAAUUUCUUCAGAAGACAGAGAGAAUUCGAAGUGAAAGGCAAUAAUGAGAUGAAACGUUGUUCUGAGCAGUUUUGUCUUGGAGCGGCGCGAUCAUUAAUUGCUCUCGAAGUUUACCCUCUCAACGGUUAGAUAAUAACUGGCGAGAAGGUAAAGGGGCAAGGAGAUGACCGCUGGGCUUCUCCACCCCUACAAAGGGCCAGGCCCACGACAAUAGCCCAUCAGCCGAAGGCCCACACGCUAUUCGCAUAAAACAAACUCAAGUUGUCAAAACUUUGAAACCGAGCUCCAGUCGAAUCUCUCCCUCAGGACGACCUGACACGCAAAAUGCACAUCAUCACCGCUCAGGCAGUAAAAACUAAGGAAAAAGAGUAAGUCAUAGAAAGACCCAAGGAGACAAACAGGGGGAAGCAUGAUAAAGGUCAGACCAGCCUAUCACCUAAGAAGGAUCAUCAUUAAACAAAGGCCAGGAGCCUAGAACGAAGCGAUGAAGACGCCUUGGAAUCUUACAAAGUUAUGGGUCAGAAGCUUAACCCAUUGAUUAAAAGCAAAGCUCACAGGUCGGUUAGUCCAGCUCGGAAAAAGUAAAAUAGAAAGCUAAGGGAACUUAGAGCUCGGAUCAUUGAACACAGACAGAGCUCACAGGUCGGAUUAGUCUCGCUUGGACAGAGUAAACCGAAAGCAAGCUCACAGGUCGGUCGGUACAGCUCGGAAAAAGCAAACUGAAAACUCAGACUGACUAAAUGGAUUCCAGGUCGGAUCAAUUAAAAAGCAAGAAGGAAAAAACAAUAUCGUAGACUUCUCAGAGAAAACCACGAAGAACAGUCUCAACAUCUCAUUCAUAAUAAAGAAGGAACAGUUCGGAUAUGAACGAAAAAAUGAAAGUUUCAUUACAGCACGUUACGAAUACCCACAUUACAGAAUAAAAAGCUAUCCUUAGAGGAUUUACAUGAUCAGAUACGUCGUCUAUGUUUACAUCACUAUCACCUAUCAUACUAUCUUAGUUUUCGAUACAAAGGAACUCUUGAAUACGGAAAACGAGCUCUGUAGGUCGGUCGAGCCCCGCUUCGUUAUUAUAGGGGAACUGAACAAGUUGAUUCCCAUAAGCAUUUCUCACUGUUCCCCUAUAGGUAAACAUUCGGUUGCCCAAAUGUGAUACACGGUACAUACGAACAAGCUCAGAUAUUAUAUGCUAUUCGUAUGCCACGCAUGAAAAACAUAAGUCUUCGAGUUACGGCUUCAAGAAGAUCACAGAGCAUAUAUUCGAAGGCAUCGACGGAAGCUUGACUGAGUGCAGCAGAUCUCUGCCCCUCAUAAUACGGGUACUCCACACCAAAGGGGACAAUAAAUUGAUCAUUUUCGCCACCUCCAUUUAUAUCAAAAGCAGACAACAAGGACAUCGGGGAAAUUUCCUUCUUGAAGGAAGGAAAAGUCACAACAGACCCCUCAACAGCCCAUAGCCUCUUUGGAGCUCGAACAUUAACUAGAGGAGGAGGCCAGUCCGACGAUCCGGGUAAAACAAUUUCAACGACCUGCCAAAUGGCUCCACCCAUCAACCGCCCUACUAGGAGGACCUCAGAAGCAACCUUCAGACUCCCUCGAGGUAAUAUCAGAUUUUCGAGAGGUUUGGACUGACCCAUCUUUAUCUCAGGUACCGCAAAAAGUUCCAAGCAGAGACAAGUCAGGAUAAUCUUUUGUCGAGAUAAUGAAAGCAAGAUUAAAGCAAACUCCUGGGGCAACAAAGCAAUGAAGCCCCAGGCUCACCUCAAUCCGUUUGAAGAAGUCUCCUUUGCAGAAAAAACAGGAGAAUCUUGCUGGAAGGAAAGACUCCUUUUCUCCGACAAAGGGCCUAGAAGUGAAGAGGAGUCAACACUGAUAUACACUCAAAAUCUGAAGUCUUAGCGCAAAGUAACUCUAGACUCUAAGCCCACAAUGUCAGGAUCUUUAAAAGAUAUUCAUGGAAAAGGAAAAAGAAGUAUGUCCAGGCGAUAACGACAGGAAAGUAAAGAAGAGCAGAGUAUCUGAGAGGUAAGAAAAGGCCAGAAAGGGAAAGAGGCAGAUAAGAUUCAAGAAAUGAGGAAUGACAAAAAGAUGAAAGGGAGUUAUAAAGGCAUCUGUACGUGAAUAGACGCGGUCAUAAUGGUUCUCGAUAUUCACCCCCUCGGCAGUCAGAGCAAUAACUACCAAGAAGGUGAAGGGGCAAUUGAUGACCGCUGGAUUUCCCUACCCCCAAUCCUGGGCCCAGAUUAUGGCCACGGCCCAUGAAAGGAAGGCCCGCAUGCCCUCUCAAGACAAGCCCAGAUCAUCAGACCCCUGAGGCCGGACUCCACCAGAUUCUUCCUCAUCGAGAUCGGCCCAGCCCAUAUAACCUUCCCAUGGAUUCCUUCUCCUCCUGGGUUCAGCGUCCAACCCAGCUCUCGGCCCAGCCUAGAAUCCAGAACGAGACUCAUCAUACAGCCUGGCAGAUCCGCUCGAAUGUACGCACGGGGGAGAAUCAGAGGCCGUUACGCAUGGAGCAGGCGCCUGAUUCCCUCGUACGCCCAUAUCUGUAUGGCAGAGACGCGUGGCCCAAUCAUGGGAGAGCCGUUAUACGUCACCAGCAAGCAGAACGAAAGGAUAAAAGGGAUACCCCUUUAGAGAGAUGGACUAAACUUUAUUUUUCAAUACCAAAACCCUUGUAAAACCCUAUUCUAUUGGAUCUCAGAUAAUCAAUAUGGAUUUUGAUUAUUUAAUUAAUAAUGAAAUUUAUUUGUAUUGUUAUUCAAAAUAAAUGCAAAAAGUAAUUAAACAAUUUAAUAACUUGGUGGGAUACUUUGACUAAAAAUUUUGAUUUGGAAUUUUCUAAGAAAAAUUGAGAUCUUUUUAUCCGUAUUGCAACUUCGAUACCACUUAACCAUAAAAACUUUAUUUUUUAUUCUCCAUUAAUAAAAUUAAUAACUGUAUAAUUAAAAUUUAAUCAACAUGCUACGUCGACUAGUUUAUCUAAUAGAAAAAAGUCUAUUGGAUAAAAAGAUAUAAAAAUUUAUGACUUUUUAUAUUUAUAUUCUAAUUUUAAAAUUUUAUACAAUAAAAUUAAUCUUUUCACAUUUAUCUUAAUUUUAUCUAUUAAUAUAAAUCAAUUUUGAUAAAAAAAAUUUUUAGUUUAUAUGUUAUAUCACAUAUUUUUGAAAGGUCUAUUGAAUAAAAAAUUUAAAUAUUUAUAUUAAUUCAUAUUUAUAUUCAAAAUUUUAAAUUUUAAAUAAUAAAAUUAAAUAUUUUUUCAAUUUAUUACUAUUAUAAUUAAAAAAAUUAAAUUAAUUUAAAAAAAAAAGUUAACAGUAAAAUAUAAUAUAGUCUCUAAAAUUUUAUUUAAUUAAUAGUACAAACCCCUAAAAUUUUUUAUAAUCAGUUCCAAAAGCUUAACAUUGAAAAAAUAAACAUCAGAUUUAUCAAAAUACUUUUUCAAUUUCAUUGAUAAUGAAUCUUCAUAGCUGCAAUUAAAUUAGUACAAUUAAAAUUUGUAUUUCAAUUUCAUGCUUGUUUGGAAGGAGAUACAAUCGAGUCCUAUGAGAGUUAAAGUUUGUUUGGACAUUCGGCAACCUUUGAAACGGCGGAAGAAGUUUGUUGGAGAUGAUGGUAUUGUGUUUACUGUGAAGUUUCAAUACGAAAAACUUACUAUUUUUUGCUAUCUAUGUGGGAAAUUAGGUCAUGUGGAGGUUUUUUGUGACUUGCGGCUGACUUUGAAGAAAGAAGAUAUCAAGUUUGGUUGAGGUGAUUUCCUCAGAGUACCUGUUCGUCGAAACCAGAGAUCAACAAGCCUAUGGCUGCAUGAUUUCGGCAAUUCUGCUCCGCCAGGAUUUGUAUCAAGCUUGGACAAUUUUAGUUGGUUUUGUCAAGUUGAUGGGACUUUGUUUUAAGUUCAAGAUUUUAUUGGUUACGGUUUUGUUGUGGAAAACUCUGAGAGUAUAUUUCAACAUUGUGUUUCUGAUUUCUCGGAAGAUAAUGGUACGCUGGUAAUUGUUGAAGUUUUAGCUCUUCAUCACUGUUUGCUCUUUACGAUAGAAUUUUUGUCUUUUAAUGGUUACAUUCUUAUGGACUGUUUGCAGGUGAUUCAAACUCUUCAAUUUCCACAUUUAGACAUUUUUGAACUGGAUUUGAUUUUGAAUAAUUGUAAAUCUUUGUUAGAUUCUAAAACUAAUAUUUCUAUUAAAUGAAUUCAUUUUCAUGCCACUCUAUCUGCUUAUACUUUGUCUAGAGAAUUUGUUAGGCAUGAUCGUCUCUCUGUUUGGGAUGACAUCCCUCUUUAUUUGAUAAAUUCUUAUUAAUACAAUCAUUAUUUUUACUUAAAAAAAAUGAUAAAAUUAAAUAUUUUUUCAAUUUAUCACUGUUAUAAUUAGAAGAAUUAAAUUAAUUUUAAAAAAGUUAACAAUAAAAUAUAAUUUAAUCUCUAAAAUUUUAUUUAAUUAAUAGCACAAAUCCCUAAAAUUUUUAGAAAUCAGUCCCAAAAGCCUAACACUGAAAAAAUAAACAUCAGAUUUAUCAAAAUACUUUUUCAAUUUCAUUGAUAAUAAAUCUUCAUAACUGCAAUUAAAUUAGCACAAUUAAAAUUUGUAUUAAUUUUUUUUUAAAAAAACUAAUAUCUUCAAAUAGGGAGUCCUAAUUUCUUUUGGUAAAAAUUUACAUGUGUGACAUUUAAAAAUAGAUCGUAUUAUUCACUAAUGGUUUAUUAUUGAAUUAUCAAUGAAAAAAAAAUCUUUUGAAAUUCGUACAAUAAUGUUUGAUGUUGAAAUUAAAUAAAAGAGAAUUACUUUUUAAAAUUUGCGCAUAUUUAAUAUAGAGAAUAAUGUAAUAAGUUAUCGACUAAAAAAAAUAAUAAAAAGAGAAAAAUUUAAAAUGAUAAAUGAGAAUUCUGGUCUAUUAAAAAUAAGAUGAGAAAGGUUUAAGGUUUUUAUUAAAUGUAACAUAUUCAUCUUCUCCUAAAGGCAAUGGGUUUGGGAAAACAAUCCAUCUCAUGAAAUGAAGUUUCUGGAAUGAUGUUGGAGGAACCAUAACUUGUUGCUUCUGUUGGUCGUCGACUGGCAUGUCCACGAUCUCGUGUACCAUAAUUAUUAGUUUCUUCAAUGAUAAAAGGCUUGAGGCUAGGUUUGGGCUCGUCUGCUUCCUAAAAAAAAAAAAAUAGUGCAGCUCUAUAAGGAGAAAUAUUAUUAAAGGAAAAAAGCAAAAUCACCGAGUAGAUGAACUUUUAGAUUUAUGCUUUAAAGCUUUAAGGUAAAAUAUUCAUCAUAGUUUUUACAGUUUGUUUGAAUAAUUAUAAGAUAAAAAUUAUAUUUCAUUAAUAUGUUAUCAAUUUUGACUAAAAAACUAAUUUAUUCUACAUUUCAAAUUAAAAAAAUUAAUAUUUAUGCAGUUGAAAAUCAACAUUUAUUUCUAAUGUUAAGACAUGAUAGAAAUUAAAUGAAAAUUAAUUUAGGCAUCAAUUAGAUCAAGCUUCAGUAUAAAUAUGCAUAUAAUUUCUAAUAAAUUAACAUAAAAGAGUAUAGAAUAAUACUCGAUUGCAAUUCAUGAUCGUAUAAUUCUUCUGGAGGCAAUAUUCCUUCAAGAACUAGACAUAUCUACAUGACAUAACAAUAAAAUGAUUACAAAUUUUGAGAUAAUAUAUAUAGUUUUGAAAUUACUUAUGUGAAAAAUUUUACCUUUUUCAUCGUUGGACGAGAGUUUGGACGUUGAUUUAUACAAGAAUUAACACAAGAAACCAUUCGAUACAUUUGUUCGUGGUCAAAGGAUUGUAAAUUGAAAUCUACAAAAUUUGUAUAUUCUCCCUCCAAAACCUUUUUAAUAUGAUGAUUUGCCUACAAGAUAUAGAUUAAAAAAUUAUUUAUUAAUGGAUCAUAAAUGCAUUGGAUUAAAAUCUAAAAAACUCCAAUUGAGAUAUAAAUUCAAAACUUUUUAAGUGGUAAAUAGAAUUUUUAUAUCACAGUUUUAUUAAUGCAAAUAGAGCCAUACCCAAGUAACAAUGUCGAUGAUAUUGUCUAUAGGUUUUCUUCCGGUAAUCAGUUCUAAAAGUGUAACUCCAAAAGAAUAAACAUCGGAUUUAUCAGAGUAUUCUCUCAAUUUUGUUGUCAAUGGAUCUUCGUAACUGCAAUGAAAUUUGUUAAGAUUUUUAAUACCAUCAAGUUAAGAAGUACUAAUAUUUUUUUAUGUAUUAUUUUAUCUAUUUUAAUAUUUAUUUUAUUUUAAAUUAUUUUAAGAGAAUAUAAUACUGGCAUUGAAAAAAUAGAAAAUAAUAGCAAUACAAUUAAAUGAUAGAAAGAAAAUUAUAUCUUACACAUGAGUUCCCAUAACUGAUGAUUUGGAUAUGUGAGUAGCACCGUCGGUAAAAAAUUGAGCAAGUCCAAAAUUUGUUAUCUAAACAAAUGAUUUAAGUUGAUUAAGAAAAUAUUAUAUCAUGAAAAAAAGACAAAAAACCUACUAAGGUUGAUUUACUAAUGUUUUUUUAUAAGCAAUCAAUUUUAUUACAAAAAGUCCAAACUAAAAAAGAAUUAGAAUCCAGAUUUAUUAAUUAAUUACAAAAAAUCAAAUUAUGUAAUUAAGGAGUUCACAUAAUUUUUCAAUAUUGUUCAAAAAUAAAAUUUCGGUAUUCAAUAAUUAAAAUUCUGUAUAUAGUGAUGAUAUAAAUAAAAUGUUUAUUUAUUAUAAAAUUACCUUACCUUAGGUUCAAAAUCUUCAUCAAGAAGAAUAUUAUCCGGUUUCAUAUCUAAAUGAAUAAUUUUAGGAUUACCUAAAAAAAUAUAAAAUAUAAAUGUUUGAGAUAAAAAAAUUAAUAUAAAUAAAAAUAAAUAAAUAAAUUCACACUCAAAAGCUAAAAUCCUGCCAAAUAAGAAUGUGUAGUAGUAUAUACUCACAGUGUUCAUGUAAAUAUUCCAAUCCUUUCGCACAACCUACGGCGAUCUUCAUUCUUUUUUCCCAGUCCAAAACAUCCCCACUUCCUACAACACCAUUUGUAAUUUUUAAGAUUUAUCAUGUCAUAUUGAUUAGUUAUACGAACAUAAAAGUAAAAGAAGGGAUAUAUGGAACUCACCAUGUAAUUUAGAUCUCAAGGACCCAUUUGGAAAAUACUUAAAAAUAAGCAAUCUAUUGGCUCCAUGAAUACAGUAACCAACCAGUUCAACGAGGUUUUUGUGACUGAUGCUUUUGACGACCAUAAUCUCCCUCUCCAAACCUUCUUCGAAUUGUACAUCCGGAAAAUCAAGUCUCUUAAUAGCACGGAUCUCACCAUCUAAGGAUGCCUUGAAAACAUGAUCAAACCUGCCUCGACAAAUUAGGUUAUUGAGCGAGAAAUUAUCAGUUACCCUUGCUAGUUCACCGUAUGAAUAUGACUUUGGCCCAAUAGUCUUCUCAGGAGAUGAGCCAGAUUCAUUCUGAUCUGUGCUUAGUGACAAUCAAUAAACAAGAUGUAUAUAAUAUAAGUAAAUCAUUAUGUUUCACAAUCUUUUAAAAGAAAAUUUAACAACUUCAAAAUAGCAAAUGGUUUCAUGGCCAUUGAUAAUAUAUAUUUUUUUCUUAUGAAGAAUUAUUCCUAUUUAUUUACUUUUCCUUAAAUAAUAAAAGAAUAAUAUGUAAAAUUAAUAAAUAAGUCAAUGAACUUGUAAAUUGACUAAAAUGUUAACUAUUUAAUACAAAAAUCCAAUUUAUAUAUUGAUUCCUAAUUAAUAAAUUAAAUAUUUAUAAUUUAUUUUUUUAAUUCUAAAAAACUCUUAACCGAUUUAAAUGUAAAUGUAAUUACAUAUUCAUUUUUAAGAAAUAAUAAAUGAAAUAUGGUAAUUCUUAAUUUUGCACUUUUCAUAUAUAUAAGGGAACAAAGGAGGUUUUCGGUUUUCGGGUGAUAAAUGAUUUUUUUGUUCUUGUCUCCUAUAAUUAUUAAAAAUAACGAAUAAGAUAAAUCAUAAUUCUAUAAAUAAUUAUAUUCAAAUAAAAUUAUAUUUUUAAUCCUGAAAUAUUCAGUACUAUAUAUAUUAACUAUACGUUUUAAUUCAAUGAUUAACAAAUUUAACGAUUAAGAAAUUAUGUAUGAACUUUUAGAUUUAUGUUUUAAAACUUUAAGAUAAAGUUUUCGUCAUUGUUUUUACAGUUUGUUUGAAUAAUUAUAAGAUAAAAAAUAUAUUUAAUUAAUAUGUAUCAAUUUUGGUUAAAAACUAAUUUAUUCUAAAUUUCAAAUUAAAAAACUUAUUUUUGACAGUUGAAAAUUAAAUGACAAUUUAGGCAUCAAUUAGAUCUAUAAAUAUGCAUAUAAUUUAUAAUAAAUUAACAUAAAAUAAUAUGAACCUUUAUAUAUCAUACUACAUUGCAAUUUGUGAUUGUAUAAUUCUUCUGGAAGCGAUUUUCCUUCAAGAACUAAACGUAUCUACAUGACAUAUAUAGCAAUAAAAUAAUUAUAAGUCAAUUAUGUAAUAGGCUUCCACAUAAUUAUAUUGAAAGAUACUUUAAUUAAAUUAAUUAUAGAAACAACUUUUACCUUUUCCAUUGUUGGACGAAAUUUUGGAGAUUGAUUUAAGCAAGAAUUAAUACAAGAAACCAUUCUAUGCAUUUCUUCGUCAUCAAAAGAUUGUACUCUAGAAUCUACAAAAUUUGCAUAUUUUCCAUGUAAAGCCUUUUUAAUGUGAAGAUUUGCCUACAAGAUAAAAUAUAUAUAUAUAUAUAUAUAUAUUUAUUAAUUAAAUGCACUAGAUUAAAAUCUAAAUAGCUCCUAUUCAAAUCUAAAUUCAAAAUUUUACUUUUUUAAAUGACUAUAUAUCGAUGAGAAAAAAAAAAAUCUUUAUGUCAUAGUUUUUAUUAAUGCAAAUAGAGUCAUACCCAAGUAACAAUAUCAAUGCCAUGAUCUAAAGGUUUUCUUCCGGUAAUUAGCUCUAAAAGUGUAACACCAAAAGAAUAAAUAUCAGAUUUAUCAGAAUACUUUCCCAAUUUUAUCGUCAGUGGAUCUUCGUAACUGCAAUUGAAUUGUCACAAUUAAAAUUCAUAUAGAUUUUCUUUAAGAAAAUAAUAUCUUCAAAUUAAGGAGUUUUAAUUUAUUUUUAUGUGCUUUUUUUGUUUUAAUUUUCAUUUUAGAGUAGAUAAUAAUUACAGUGAAAAUGAAAAAGAC